GCGCGGAUGGCGGAAUUUGGUAGACGCGCAAGGUUGAGGGCCUUGUGGCCGCUAGGCUGUGAGGGUUCGAGUCCCUCUCCGCGCACCA
rnacentral:tRNA from 1 species